rnacentral:tRNA from 3 species
GCGCUCGUAGCUCAGUUGGAUAGAGCAUCGCUUUCCUAAAGCGGAGGUCGCAGGUUCGAAUCCUGCCGGGCGCG